CCUACGGGUGGCAGCAGUGAGGAAUAUUGGUCAAUGGGCGCGAGCCUGAACCAGCCAAGUAGCGUGAAGGAUGACUGCCCUAUGGGUUGUAAACUUCUUUUAUAUGGGAAUAAAAUGUUCCACGUGUGGGAUUUUGUAUGUACCAUAUGAAUAAGGGUCGGCUAACUCCGUGCCAGCAGCCGCGGUAAUACGGAGGAUCCGAGCGUUAUCCGGAUUUAUGGGGUUUAAAGGGAGCGUAGGUGGAUUGUUAAGUCAGUUGUGAAAGUUUGCGGCUCAACCGUAAAAUUGCAGUUGAAACUGGAAGUCUUGAGUACAGUAGAGGUGGGCGGAAGUCGUGGUGUAGCGGUGAAAUGCUUAGAUAUCACGAAGAACUCCGAUUGCGAAGGCAGCUCACUGGACUGCAACUGACACUGAGGCUCGAAAGUGUGGGUAUCAAACAGGAUUAGAUACCCCAGUAGUC
rnacentral:rRNA from 1 species